UUUUUUUUUUUUUUUGUAUCUAGCAAAUAUAUAGCUAAGAUUUAUGCUUAUCAAAUAUUGAAUGGUAGCCAAUUUAAGUCUAGAAGGGAACACCGGACUCCAAACGAAGGAAACCCACCCAAACAUCAAAAUAACACAAGCUACCACUGUAGUAAAGAGGACAAAAUCUAUACGAUUUCUGAGGUUUAUGAAUUUAAUAUGAUUGUGAUUGUUCCAACUAAAGGUUUUCUAUUUACAUCCGAGUAUAUCUUAAAUCUUAAUAACAAAACUAAAAUCCUGAACAAUAACUAAAAAUAGGCUAGGAUGCACUCUGAAAUAUCUCCUAUGAGCUCUGAAUCGUAUUUGAAAAAAAAAAAAACACAUUCAAUAAGGCUUAAAACAGAUUCCUAAGUUGUUUUAAUCGUCGUAGCAAAUGAUAGUCUAUGCUUAUCAUUCUUCAUUGAUAGGCUAAGCUAUUUAAAACACCAAAAGUCAAAACUAAACGAACAAAGAACCAAAACACAUCAAAACCAUGCAACCUACAAUUAUAUUUAUAAGAUAGUUGCCUUCAGAUAUAUUAUCUGAAAGCUCACCGCAGUCCGCGAUCACCACGGGCUUGGAAGGCGUCCUCGUUGUUGUACUUAUAACCUCCUUCUCAAUGCUCCUCAUAAGAUCCAAUCCUUCAACAACUUUGCCAAACACAACGUGAUCACCGUCCACUUGCACGCCAUAGUCCUUCAUGUGGAUUUGGAACUGAGAUCCGGUGGAGUCGGCCAUGGAGAUGAUACCUGGACCAUCUUCGUGGUUCAGGAUGAAGUACUCGUCUUCUAAUUCUUCGCCGUGGAUUGAUUCGUUUUCGAAGAUGAUAUCUCCUCCACACCACAUGAGAUCGGGAACAAUAUCGUCGAAGAUUGAUCCUUUAUAGUGCAGUGGUUUACCACACUUUCCGAUGCCUCUCUCGCCGGUACACAGAGCCCUGAAGUUCUCAGCCGUACGCGGAGUCAAGUCGGCGAAGAGCUCUAUCACGAUCCGACCAGCGGGUUUUUCAUCAACAGUCAAAUCAAAGAAAACUUUAGGGUUAGCCAUUGUCCGGGAGAAAUCUAGUAUUAGGGUUUCUAUGGUUCUGUACAAUUUAUAACGUAGACUGAGAUACCAUAAUGGAGCAAAUUAAAUAGUUCUUAUAUAUAUCAAUAAUAUAGAUUUUCCCUGUAAUUGCUAGUAUUUAUCUUUUCUUAAAUCCAACAGUACUUGAAGGGCUCUAUAACUAUAAGCCCAAUAAAGAAAAAAAAAACUUUAGGCAAUGUACUUAAUAAUCAGAGAAAUUUUCUAGUCAAAUAACCAAUGAUUUUUCCAUAUUGGAUAAUUAAAGCCCAAGUAUUUGUGAAUCCAUCUCUUGUAGUACUUUCGAAACAGAAGUGAUGAAAACAAACACCGUCACAAACUUUAUCCAACUAAAUUCGACCAAAUCAAUCUCUAGUUUUAUUAGUUUAGAAUGGUUGAACUUAAUCUAAAUAUUUAGAACACAUAAUAAUUCUAAAACAAAUUAGUGUAGAAAGAACUAGUAAAACAAAUUUUAAAUCAAUUUUGAAGUUGUAACUGAAAUUGUAUAAUGCUAAACUGAUAUAGACCGAAUUAACCCAAAAACGAUAUUGACGGAAAUAUGAAUUGAAAUUAAACCUGAUUGGGCUUGGUAUAUUUCAGCCCAUUGGUCCAUACUCCAUAGUAUAACCAAAAUGAGAGUGGUUGGUUAUAAUUUGUUAAUGAGUUAUUCGUUGACUGAUGUAUUCACCCCAUAGAAGUAUAUAUUUAUUUCUUGGUCAAAGUCAAGCACUAAAACUUGAACAAACUUGUUGACAAAAAAAAAAAAAAAAAACUUGAACAAACUCCACAUCAAGCUAACGAAGCAUUUAGAAAAGAUGAGUCCAAUUUCUGAGGUUUAUGAAUUUAAUAUGAUUAUGAUUGUACCAACUAAAGGUUUAUAUCUAUACUAUUAAUUGGGAAGCACUCAAACAUAAAUAACCUUAUAAAAUGUAAAGUAUUAUAAAAAUGCCAUUGUUUUUUGUUUUUAAAUAAUAUAUUUAAAUAAAAAUAGUAAAAUUCUUUAAAGUAAUUAUUAGUUUCCAAAAAAUUAAACUCACUUUCUCUCUCAUAUUAAUUAUGGACGAAAAUUAAAAAAAAAAUUCUAAAAAGUUGUUAACCAAUGAGAAUUGAAAAAAAUAAGAUUUGAUAUCCAACUAAAAUUUUAUCUAAACCAAUCCUAAUAAACUAUUCUAUAUCAAAAAUAAAAAGAAAAAUAAUACCAUUUUAAUUCAAAAUAUAAAAACACUAUCGUUUAAAAAGUUUUUUAUCAAUGGAGAAUUUUAAUAUUGAAUUUGAAAUUUCAUAUAAAAAUUAAAUACAAAUAUUUAUGACUCAGUUUUGUUAUAAUAUUUUCACAAAUUUUGAGAUAUAAAACAAAAUUUUAUUUCACAAUUAAAAAAAAAACGAUAUUAGAUAUUAACAAAUAUUUAUAUUUACUAUGAAAUAAACUCAAAUAAUGAUAAAUUUAAAGUAAUUAUCGUUAUGGCCUUCGUUUAGAGAAAGUUUCAGAAAUAUCUAAACAAAAGAUUGUACAUAUUAAUUUCGAAAUAUUUUGUGUUUUUUUUUUCUUUUCAACCGGAUCUUCCUUAAACAAAUCCAUAAUAUAUUGCACACAAUUUUCGAAAUAAUGUGAACUAAUUAUAUAUUUUGCAUUCAAAACAAAUUAUGCAGCAAUAGUAUAUCCCUUUUAUAGAUGUAUCUCAAAUUUUAAUUUUAGUCCCAAAAAUCGAAUUAAUUAUGAUUAAACAAUGAAAAGAAAAAUAUGCAAAAUUUAGCUAGAAACACUAAUAAAUUUGUUUAAAUAUAUUUGUAACUUUAACGGUAUACAUAUUAAUCCGCAAAACUCACAAUAUAUAUUAUAAUAUUAUAUGAUAUUUAAAAGUAAGCAAAUAAGAAUUUGGAAUAUGAUUUUAAUGGAAUAAAAUGGAAAUAGAAAUUACGAGACGAGAUGGGAGGGGAACAUAUAUUAAAAAUCAAACUAAAUACCCAACUGGCAUGAGUUCGGGUUAUGAGCACUAUAUAAAAUAAAUUUGUUUACACAUGUAACCAUGUACAUACAUUUUCAAUUACACAUACUCUAUUUAUGACAGAUAUGGGACUAUAAUAUUUUUAUUUUACGUAUACGUGACAGAUUAUGGGACAAAGAAUUUAUGACAGAUACCGGACGGGAUAUUUUCAUGUUCCAAAAUAGUUACGCCUAGCUAAUAUACAUGAAUAACCCAAACUAAAACCAAAUUCAUAUCCUAUUUAACAUAUGUAAUCAAACUGUUAGAACUGUUUUGAUUAGUUAAGAAAAUAAAAAUGUAACACCACUUAACUUUUGCAACUAAAUUAGUCCGGAUCUUAAAAUAUAAUUAUGCAUUAACACAACUGAAUUUUGUUCAUUACUCUAACUUAUAAUAUUUAUACUAUUACGAAGUUCACUAACACAACAAAUAUUUUAUAUUUUUAAAUCUCUAUAAAAAUUUCUAUAAAAAUAUCUCUACACGUAUGUGGAUCCAGAUCUAAUACACUAAAAUAUAUAUCAUAAAAAGUUAAAAACAAUAAAAUAAUCUAUAUUUAAUUAAAAUUUGUUAAAAAAAUUUUAAAAUAUGAAACCCCGCACGUAUGUGCGGGUCAUGAUCUAGUUUACAAAUUAAAUCGGAGUGUCUUAAUAUAUACUCGUACUUAAAUUAAAAUUCUGAACAAAAACAAAAAUAGGCUAAUUAAGAUCUUAGUUUUUAUCCUCAAACAUGGGACGAUUAGUCCAUUAACUGGUCAUUUAUGUGUUUAAAUAAUUCCUAAGUGUUUCCAUUAAUCGGUUAGACUUUCAGCUAAUCAAUCAAACAUCUCAUUUUAAUCGAAUCAUUUACUACUAUUUCUGGAUCAUCCAUUAUGCCAUAUUUAAAUUUGGUGAGCACAAACACUAACACACAAACUAUUAGGUUAUAUGUUGUGGUCGGUUUUUAAUUUAUAAAUUAAAAAAAAAAAAAAAAAACGUUGGCAACAAAUAUAGCACCGUAACCAUUGACUAAUUUGUACAAGGAUUAUGCUUUUAAGGUGUAUUAUUAUCGUCGAACACUUUUUAGAAUUAUUAGGAAAUUUUAAGAAAUAUUAUCUACUACGUGAUAAAAAAAAUCUUGAUUAACUUUUUCAAUACAAAUGAUAAAUAAAAUUUGAAAGAAACACACUAUACAUCAGAUACAUAUUAAGAAUUCACACGCCAAAAGAAAAAUCUACUUGUUCAAUUGAGUAUAAAAGCUUAAAAUUAAUUUAAUUGGAACAGUGAAAUGCGAUAUUCCGAAAAGAAAAAAAAGGAUUAAACCAAUUUAUAAAAAUAAUAAUACAAUGAAGAGUAAAAUUGAUUUAGGAUUUAACCAUUGGUCAUCAUCAUCCUGACAAAUUCAUCAUAAUUGACUUGGCCAUCACCAUCCAAAUCUGCCUCCUUUAUCAUUUGAUCAACCUCUUCAUCUGUUAGCUUCUCCCCAAGAUUGAUCAUCACAUGCCUCAACUGUAAUUAUGUAUCAAAAUUACAAAGAUUAUAUAUAAUAAGCACUAUCUACUAAUUAAUGAUGUUUAUCUUUAAGCAUUGAUCAUGGCCAAUGCACAAGAAAAACAAAGAUAUGAAAUUCAUAAACAAAAAGAUAGUGAAUAUGAUCAACUAUCAUUAUAUUGUAUAAAUAAAUGUAAAUAGAUAAAUACUACUUCUAUUCUUUGUUGUGAAUUUUUAUAUUAAUGGUUAAGAAAAAAAGUUAUGGGAGUGAUAAGAAUAUAUAAACAUAUUAUUUACACUAGGGUGAGACAUAUGCUCUGCCCAAUAAACCAAUAGAAUCAUACACACAUUUUACUAAAUGUUAUCAAUAUUUUUAAAUAUUUCUUUUGACCUCGUUAUCUCCAAAAAGUCAUAUUGCCAGCUAGCUCGAAGCCUCAAACAAAUUAACUUUCUACGACGCAACACACACACUUUUUUAAUAUACUAAGAAAACAUAAUCAGCAUACCUUGUUGUCAUUUUCUUCUUUAAAUUAAGAUAAAGACACCUUAAAGAUCUCUUGUAAAACUCGAAAUAUCGACUAGCCUUGUGAUCUGAUAUUUUUAUUAAUGCAAAAGAUUCUAACCUUGAUUUAGCUAUCUAUUUUUUUUUCCCUUUUCAAAUUAAAUGCACAAUUGCUGAUAAAACAAUAAGAAAAUACAGAAUCUAAAUUCCGAGCUUGUGUAACACUUCAAGUAGAGCAAAAAUUUUAAAACGUUUUUUUUGAGAAAUUGGGUCAUGUUAACGAAACUAGACACAAUUAAUACAAUUAGGCAACUCAUAAGUAAAUACAUAUAUCUUUAUAUGCUUCCAAUCAUUAAUUAAAUUUCGUAUAUAAUUGAAAUUUGUUUUAGAAGACUAGGAAAAUUAAAAGGCAAAAAAGAGAGACAUAAGCAACCAUUUUGCUUACCUCACUGGCAGAGAUGUAACCAUUUUGGUCUUUGUCAAACACUUUGAAUGCUUCUUUCAGCUCUUCAUCUGCAUCAGUUUCCUAUAACCAAAACAAAAAAAAAAAAAUCAAUCAAUAAAUAUUAAAACAAAUAUGCUUCAUUGAUGUAACUUUUUAGAAUUGAACCUGGAUUUGGUUAGCCAUGAGGGUGAGAAACUCCGAGAAUUCGAUGGUGCCGUUGCCGUCAGAGUCGAUCUCAGUGAUCAUAUCUUGAAGUUCUUGUUCGGUCGGGUUCUGAUCCAAUGAGCGGAUCACAGUGGCAAGUUCAUCAGCAGUGAUGCAACCAUCACCAUCUUUGUCGAAGAGACAAAAGGCCUCUUUAAACUCCAGUAUCUGUUCUUGCGUCAGUUCUUGUUGUUGUUGUUGUUGUUGUUGUUGUUGAGUUUCUUCCAUCCAAUUAAAACUUGCUUAGUAGUAUUCUUCAGAGAGAGAAGAGAAGAGAAGAGAAGAGAAAAGAAGAGAGAGAGAGCUUAAAAGCUUUGAAGUGCUUCAACUCUCAUUCUGUUUUCCUAUUUGUAGAAGUCUUUGCUUUGGACUCAUUCACUUUUUUCCUCUUCUUUUCAUUAAAGUUAUAUUUGGACAAAUUAUUUAUUUGGAAUUUUAAUUCUAGUCACAUGACACGAAAUGUUAUUUCCUUUUCAAAGAGUUUUAUACGAACUAGUCAGGUGGGAAAUUUUAGGUUAACUAGUAAUUUGAGUGAAACUCUUUGAAAACUAUAUUUUAGUGUAGAAUAGUUAUAUACUUUGUUCUCUUAUUUAAUUAUACUUGGCUAACUUGAAGUCUUGAAGAUCAGCAUCACGUCAAAUUUUUUGAAAGUUACAAUGUUAUACUCACUCCCUUUUUUUUUAUAAUUUGUUUUAAAUUAAAUGAUUUCAACUUUUAAUGCAAAUCUAACUAAUUUUUAUAUUAAUUUUGACGAUUUAUAUUCGGAAGGUCGGGUUACUAUUAGUUGAAUCGUAUUAACCUAAAUAAUGAAUGAUGUGAAAAUUUUGUUGAAUCAAUUUAUUUGAUGUUUCCAAUUUUUAAUUUAACAUUUCUUACUAUUAUAUUAUUUUUGACUUUUAAAAUUUUAUAAUUUGUUUUCAAUUGUUGAAUUGUUUUUAAGUAGAUAACUAAUAGUAAUAUUUUAAGAUUUCAAAAAAAAAUAAAAUAAUAAUCUAUGUGUCAAUAUCGUAAACACCAAAUCAAAUGAAAUAAAAAGAGUAUGUAACAAGAAAAAUAUAUUAUGCAGAUGGUUGUGAAUUAUGUAAUUUGUAACGAUAAAUGGAAAUUACAUAAAAUGGAGUAUGUGUAUAUGUAAAAUAAAUGGGUGUGGGUUUCAACUUCAACAGCUGUAAGAGUACAUGACGAGGAGACAAAGAGCAUUAAAAUUGGUAGACCAAGCACUUGUGUUACGGGAAAACGUGACGAUCUCUUUUUUUCUCUCAUCAUUUUCGGUUUUUAGCACAAUAUUCAUCUUAUUCAUUUACAAAAAUAUUCCUUAAUAUUUUUUCAAAUUUCUCCAGCCAAAUCAGAUCAUUGCCGACCGUUUCACGCCGUAGAUCCACCAUGGUACGACUGUCUGUAUGGUUGUUUACUUGAUCACUUAAGAGUAUUCAUAGUUUUGAAAAAACAUACAAGGUGGUUAUUUAGUGAUUAAAAUAAUAUUUAUAAAAAUAAUAAUAAUAAUAAUAAUAUUUAUCUUGUGAUAAAAUUGAAAAAUAUGUGUUACUUGUCCAUUAAUUAUGAAAUAGAGAUAAUUUAGCCAUUUUAUUGAUUUUUUACUAAAUGUGUAAUUUGUUAAAACGUCAUAUGUUUGGAAGCAAAUCGUACUAUUUGAAUCUAUUACACAUAUGUUGCCUACAAAAAUGUACCUCGUGGGGUUAAUCUCUUUCUUGUAAUUUUAUUUUGAUUUAUUGCAUUAUAAUUUAUAAAUAUAGUUCGACAGAAAGAAUGUAAAAUUCUUAAGUUUCAAAAUUAUAAUUUAUAAAUUGCAUUAUGUAUGUUAUAUGUGAAAUUGUUUGAAGGUGUGUAAAGUUCAUGUAAUAAGAAUUAUUUUUUUUCAUAUCACUGUUAAUAGUUUGCGACUUUGUGUAGAUAAAGACUUUUCAAAUUGAAUUAAAAAGCUGACUCAGCUACACACCUUGUUGUGUAGACUUUGUAUAGUGAUACCGACAUCUAAGUGCAUGCUUAAACUUGUUGACUAAGCUGAAUUGCCCUUGUCCAUAAUCAUCAUAAUAGUCAUUGUGGAAAAAGAUAUAAUCUAAUGGCGUAAGAGUUAUUAAAAAAUGUCAGAACCUAUCUGGACCAAAAUCAGACACACAAAAAAGACAUUUUGAUAUGAUUCAGUAAUAUUUCUUCAUAUGAAAUAAGUAGAGCCUAUUGAUAAUGAUGGUCUUAAGUAAACCUGAAACAAUUUUAAUUUUUAACCCAUACAAAAGAGGAAAUUUUAUCUUUAACUCGGGUAGGAUUUCGAAGUGUUAAAUAAUCGCAUCGAAUCCAAAACUAAUAGAAUUUGAACCUUAUGGUUUCUUUUCUAGACAAAUUUUAUGACUAAAAAUUCCAACUGUACAGGGAUCUGGUGAUUCCCAAGACCUAAAUUCAAUACUAUUGAACUUUUCCUUCAUUGCAACAUGUUGACUUGACUAGAAUGUAUAUAUUCGAAAAUAUUAAAUGGAGGAAAUGAUGCAUAUAUAUGAUACAAAUAUACAAUCAUUUAAAUGAGCAAGUUCUAUUCUGAUUGAUAUGGUCUUAUUAGAACUUAGUGAUUUACUAAUGUUUAUACACAAAAAUUUAAAUAAUCAGUCGUAUUCUAAUUUACAUGGUCUUGACUCUUGAUAGAAUUUAGUAAUGCUACUUUUAUAUAAAGUGCCGAAAUAUGGUACCAUUAGCCACUAGUUAUUAUUACACAAGCUCACGUAUUAGUGUUUGGAUGCGUUUUGAUUUUUGUAAAGUCAAAGUACUAAAUGCUACUAACAUCAUUAAAAGUUGUGGUGACCCAAUUAAUGUUAUUGCUUUUAGGUUUGUCUUUUAUAUUUGACCUCUUUGUUCAGCAAAGUAUUAUUGUAGCUGUUGAAUGACAUCUUUUAAGGGGUUGAAAACAAGUUAAUGCCGUAUAUAUGAAGGUACACUAUAAAUCGUACUAGUGUGUUUUUGACUACACAUUUACAUAAUGUGAUGUGAAAUAAUAGUUAGAUUUCGGAUAGUUAUCUGAAUUAGGAUUGAAAUAUGAGGUCCACCCCAAUCCCAAUCUGAUCAAAGAGACUGAAAAAUGGGCAAACAUUUUGCCAUUUAAACCUAUAUUAGUUAGACCGGUUCAUCAUAUAUAUAGUUGUUUUACUAUCAAUUUUGAUGGUCAUGGACCUAUUCACUGGUUAUUUCCUAUUUAUUCAAAUUUGUCAAAACUUUUGGUUAUGAUUAGUUUGAAGUCAAAACAUGUACUUUUCUUUAUUACAAUGAAGACUAUAAAAGGAGCAACAUAUAUAUAUAUAGUUUAUGUUAUACCGAUUAGUUCUUAAUUUAGUAAUAUCAGUAUGAAUAUAAAAAUCAUUACAUAAUGUUUAUAAAUAGAAAUGGAAAAUAUGAUAAACAAAGGAGAAUUCUCUAAAAGUCGUCCAAAAAUUGGCCUUAAUCUCUUUUAGUGACUGAAAUUUAAUGUUUGUUAUAAAAAAAAAACACAAGAGGAAGAAAAAACAACUCACACAGCUUGGUACGCGGUUUCAUUCUUUUGUCAACCGUCCAAGAUCUUAAUGAGUGGUCGAGACUCAGAGAUGGCAUUACAAAUUCAUGAGAUCUAAUAUUGUACGGACAUUAUUGCUUUUGAAAUUGAAAUAAGAAAUAAUACUAUAAAGAUAGAUAAAUCAAACGUUGUUUAGUUCUUGAAAAAGUUAAAGAAACUGACUUUGUCAGUCGAAUACGAGCUGACCCAUCAAAUACAUUUUUCUGCUUUCAUUGUCUUUAAUUUUCUUAGAUGUAUCAAAAGGUUUUCGAACCAUUUGGAACUGAUCAUAGUUAUCAAAAUUAAACAAUGGUAGAAGCCAAAGUGAGAGAUACCAUAAUCUUAAAGCUAGCACGAGCGGAGGGUCGUGUUGACUAAGUCUAGACGACAGUCGUGUUUACAAGCAAGGGUUCAUAUUCCAGGUAAAGGGAGCGGUUCGGGCCUCUUUGCCUACUGUGUUGCUCAACCUACUAUUAGGAACUGUGAACCCCGGCGAGUACUAUUGACUGCCGUGUUCGACCGUCGUAUUGACGGACCACUUAUGCUAACCUUAAGAGAACAAUACAGAAUCGCGACUGUGUUUAGAAUAGAAAGAAACAAGGUUUAUGAAGAAAGUAGGAAGUCUGGAAAACUUAGAGAGAAGUUAGAGAAACAUUUUAGAGAGAGAAAGCUAUUAUGAAAUUUUAUGAUAUUUCAAGUUAUGGAAUCUUACAAGGGGUACACACUUAUUUAUAGGAGGUUUUUAAGGCGCUGACAUAAGCGCUUACCUCAGCGAUACAUCAUCGCUUACAUCAUUGCUUACAUAAUCAUUACAUCAGCGAUUACAUCAUCGCUUACAUCAUUAUUUAUUUUACAUGAUUUUUAACAUAUUAUUAUAUUUAUAUUUAACAUACCGCUUAAUGAUCCAUUUCGAACUCCAGCAUAUAUUCUUCGCAGCAUCCAUAAUGAUCACCUGGACAUUCAUACGAGUUUUCGAUCAUUUGUGCAUCUCCUCCUGGUUGAACAUUUAUGUAGAACUUGAACUUCUUUUCGAUUUCUUCAACAUUUACUUCAUCAUCUGGGGAUUGAGCGUCUUUGAAGUAAUCGGCACAGUAAUCUUGAGAAGUCACCUGGGGGUUUGUUUCUUCUUGUUUAUCUUCUUUUGGACUGCUUGGUCUUCCUUUGUUGAACUUCAUCAUGUGAUAUUGUAAAUCUUCAUCAAGUUGCAUCUGAUAAUCGACCGGAUAAUAAACCCAGUUGGGUAUGAAAGGAAUGGGGAAUGUUUGUCUUGCAUUGUUGAGGUGAAACGCAUGAGUUUGAAAGUUUUCGUAUGCUUCGUUAUCCUGAAGGUUGAAAUCUGGACGAACUCCUCUUGAAAAAUCACCAUGAUGAAUAAGAGUUGGAAGAGCGAGGAUUUUGCUUGUUUUGCGAUUGACCUUAACGGGACGAUGAAAGAAGUAGAUUGAAUGCGGAUUGAAGAACGGGUUGAGUCCACCUUUCUUCAGCUUCUUGAAUGUUAGAUUUGUCGCAUUUGCGGAUCUUCGUAGUUUUCCACUCCAGACAGUCAAUGGUGAAAACCACCUUAGGAACGUUGAGAAGUUGUCUCUUUUGUCUUGAACAGUGUUGACGUAAUGGUACAGCCAUUGGAUGUCGAAAGCAAUUCCUACCGUGUAGACAGCACAGAGAUACCAGAGGAAACAGAGAACUUCUUCUGGCAUAUUUGAAUUUUCGAUCCUGUAAAGAUGAGCAAACGGAUAGUCAGGAUGAAUUCCCAUUGGAGCAAUGUGAUGACAGUUUACUCCAUAGUUCGUCAGGAUGGUAGAUUGAUAUGAAAAGAUCUUUGUGCGUAGUAGCUCAUGAAGCUUGUUUCUGCUGAUGAGUUGAUGAACAUCUUCGGGUACGUCUGCUUCAAAGUCAUAGUAGCUCUUCUUGGUUUCGGAGGAACUGGCCAUCAUGUGUAUCUCGUAGGGCGUUUCUUGUUUCACUGGUUUUCGACUUAGCAUGUCUGCUAACGUGUUCUUGGUGCCCUUUAAAUAGACUGACUCGAAGUCGUACUUUGAGAACCACUCACUCCAUCUUAGUAGCUGCUGAUGCGGGACCAUCUUCUGCUUGAACUGUAACAUCUUGGGAAACGAAGAUAUAUCCAUUUCAAUGCGAAACUUGUGUCCUAUCAGAUGAAAUUCAAACCUCUCGAUAGCUUUUUUGACUACUAAAAUCUCCUUGAACGUUGAGUGAUAAUGUUGCUCUGAAUCUUUGAAACGACCACUCUUGUAUCCACAGAUUUGUCUUUUCCCAUCCAUCUCUUCAAACAGUAUUGCUCCCCAAUACUUAUCACUAGCGUCUGUCUGUAGAAUACGCAUGCCUGAGGAGGGAAUCUUUAAAGGAGGUAGCUUUUGCACUUCUGCUUUUAGACUUUUGAUAGCUUCAGUUUGUCGUGAUGCCCAUAAAGGAGGGUUUUUCGACAACAUCUUCUGUAGAGGUCUUGUCAUUCUAGAAAGGUGUGGAAUGAAGUCUCCCACAUAAUUGAUUACUCCAAGAAAUUGUUGAAUUUGUCGCCUUGUAAGAUUUUCAUCAGGAAAAUCUAGGAGUUCUGUAGCUAAAUGGGCCUGUGGUGUGAAACUUCCUUCUUUGAUAUGCAUGCCAAGAAAAUCAAUGUUGGGCUGGGCUAUUAUCAUCUUUCUGGCUGAUAGCAUGAUUCUGUUUUUCUUGACGAUGUCUUGAAACUGUUGUAGCGCCUUAAUGUGCUCUUCUUCAUUCUUCGAGAAGAUGAGUAUGUCAUCAAUAUAUAUAAGAGCUGUGUGUAACAACGGCUCGAAUAUACGUAACAUUGCUUGCUGAAAUAGCGAUGGCGCCGUCUUGAGACCAAACGGUAAGACAUUCCAUUGAAGGUGUCUGUUUGGAAGGCAAAACGCAGUUUUGUAUCUUUCUUCAGGAUGAACACCGAGUUGCCAAAAUCCUGACUUCAGAUCAAACUUCGAAAAUAUUUUUGCACCUUGGAGAUGUUGGAGAAGUGCUCUUUUAUUUGGCAGUGGAAACUUGACGUCUUGCAGAUACUGGUUCAACGGCUUGUAAUCGAUAACUAAUCUGAGUUUUCCUCUUGCUUGUUCUGCACGAUUAUUAACGUAGAACGCUUUGCAUGCCCAUGGAGAGUUUGUUCUUGAGAUGAUACCUUGAUUCAUCAAUUGAUUGCAUUCCUCAUUUGCCUUCUGCAACAAUGUUGGAGGCAUUCCUGCAUGGCUUGCUUUUGUUGGUGUUGUGUGUACAUCUUCUUUGAAUGGUAGGGAUACGAAGAAGCUUGAGUUUAACCAUAACGGAUGAUUACACUUUUGAAGGAACUCCGUGUGUGAAUCUGCACAUGAUGCCAUCUUUAGUUCUUCUUCAAUUUUGUUGAAUUCUGCAGAUACUGAGUCUUCGAUUGAGAAUAGGCGAUGCAUUGUGGUAAAAGCUUUGUAGAGGUUUUUCCAUCUCACGCCUCUUGGUUCUAGAGAAAUACCGAACUUCUUCUUCAGUAUCGAGUAAGUAUCCCACCCAAGGAUUAAGUCUUUACCAGGUGCAGAUGAACCUAGUACUUCCUUAGUAACUUGACAUCCUGGGAAAAGCUCUAUCGUGAUUGGUUUUGAUUUUAGCUUAACCGUCAGGGAUCCAGCGUUUGCUACUCUGAAAUCUUGUUGAUGAGGCAUCCACAUGGCUCGUGAGAGAAUCUUUGGAUUUAUGAUUGUUGUAUGAGCUCCUGUGUCGAAGAAUGCGAUUGCGUGUACUGGCUUUUCUCUUCUGGAAGGAUCAAAGAUGGUUACUGGUAGAUGCGGUGUCUGAAGUUCAUUUUCUUGAGGCAUCUGGGUAAUCUUGAAACAACAAUCGUCGUCCUUUUCAUCUUCAGAUGAGGAUUCCGAAGAUUCGUCAUAAUCCGAAUAACUGCAUAUAGCAUCAUUCUCGUCACUAUCAUAAGAUAGUAUUGACUCAAGAUCAUGGUUAUCAAUAUCAAGAUCUGGAGCUAUCUUGGAUAUCGAAUGAAUGAGAUAUUGCUUCUUCUUUUUAGACUUGUUUGGACAGUCUUUUGCAAAAUGCCCCGUCUUUCUGCAUAGAAAACAUCUUGAAGUUUUCUCGAAGCUUUUCUUCUUUCUAAAGAAUCGCUUGCUUUUAAUCUUGUUGAAAUAUUUCGACUUCAAGAAUGAUUUCUUGGAUCUUCUUCGGUCUUUUUGUCGAUUUUCACAUGAACAUUUUUUCUUUUUCGAACAUUUGAUGUUUAGAUCCGGGCGAGCACAUAUCUUUAAAAGAUGCUUUGACUUGUCCAUGAAUUCUGACCAAAAUUCUUUUUGCUUGCAAAGCUUGUCAAGAGUUCUGAACACCUGCUGCUGUAUUUGUCCAAUCGAGAUUUCUUCGAUUGUCUGCCCUUGAUCUCUGAUAUACAGCUUUGUUUGUUGACUUAGGUAGUCGUCGAUGGAUGAAAGAUAAACUUGCUUCAGGCUUGGAUUGUUUAGACCAUUGAGAGCAUAAUACCUUCGAGUUUGUCGCUCGAAAUGCUUUGCUAAAUCUCUUUUUUUCAAUGAACAACACUUCGCUGUGUAAAACUCUUCUUGAAGUUGUUCUUUUAAAUGAUUUGGGGUGCCAACGAAUUCUCUAUGUAUUUCUCCAAGAAGUAGAGGUAUCGUUGUCUGAUACACCUGCUGCUGCCGAUAUUCUCCAAGCGAAUUCCACCAUUCUUUUAAUGCGCCUGACAGUCUUGAUGUGAAUUGUUGUAUCACCACUUCUGUUGGGGAAGUGAUUGCUUCGGAGGUCAUCCACGCAUGAAACUCGUCGAGACGACUAUUCCAUUUUUCAAAAGGAAUAUCAUCGAAUGUGAACACCAUUAUCUUUGAUGCAAAUUGUUUCUUUGGUACGCCUUGAGCUUCAUAGCUCAUCUCUUCGUCACUUGAAAUUUCUUCAUAGAUCGGCUCUUCUUUUGGAAUAUGUGACUCGUCUCCGAUUGCAAACUGAUUUGGAAGAGAUUUAUCUGUUUCUGAUUCAUCGACGGAAGAGGUUGAAUCUGAAAGAGCUGAGAUGUGAGUCAUUGUAACAAUUGGUACUGACUGCUGCUCUUUUGAUUGAACUUGCAAUUCUUGUUUUUCAUCAUCAGAUGUUUUCACAAGAUUGUCUAGUAAACUAGACAUCGAAAACUCGAUCAUCGCAAUUUCUUCUUCUUUUGCAACAUCCUCUUUCUUUUCAUCUUGAGCAGACUCAUGGCUUGAUGAAGAUGUGAAGCUUGGCUUCUUGGAUGGAUUGAUGGGAAACUCAGAAUCCUUUUGACGCCUUGGUUUAGUUCUUGCCGCCUUUGUUUUGAAAUUGCUGGUUGAGGUUGUACCAAACCGAGAUGUAAAGGCUUCAUCCGAGGAUAAGAAUCCAGGUACAGGCUAUUUUGGUUUUGGAUCUUGAUAUCCAGACAGAAAUCCUGGAGAAUAUGAUUCUUGAUAUGUGGGUAAUCCAGAUGACAUAUAGUCAAAAGGAUUAUACAUAUUUACUCGCCUCUGAUUCUGGACUAGACUUUCUAGGCUUCUUUGAAGAUCUUUGAGUUGAUAUUUAAGAUUGGUUUGUUCAGCUUCUUUACUUCUGAACUGAGAUGUAUUAACCUUCAUUUAUUUCGCCAUAGCCAUCAUUUCUUGGUGCAAGUUGCUGAGUUUCUGUUGAAUCUCUGAUAUGGCUCCUUGCAGACUGUUGAAUCUCCUAUUGUUGUUCUCUGACAUUUGAUCAACCUUGUGGCUAAUGGAUGUCAGUAAUUGAUUCUGAACAAAGGCAUUUUCUUUUUGCCAGUUGAGAACCUUUUCUGCUUGGCUUAAUUCGUCUGGUCCAGCGGAGUUGAUAUUGUUCGGAAUAAUUUUUGGUGUAUGCACAAUAUUGUCCUUGACAAAGUCUUUUGGUGGAGGAAAAUCCAUUCUUAUCAUCAUGAGUUGCUGGUUUGCAUCAUCCUUCUUUGUUGAAUACUCGACUAUAAAGUCGUAGUUAUCUUCACCAAGUGGACCUACUGUAGGAUCUCCUUCAAGGUAGCGUUUAUAAAGUGGAUCCUUCUUUUUUCUUCGUCUUCUUCGCUUUUCAUCAUCCGAUUCAUAAGAGUCUUCCAAACAUGCGGUGCAUGAGCAGACAUCGAAGUAGCAAUGUCCGUUCUCAUCUUUGAAUGGAUAUACGACAGUUCCAUUCUGUCCAAAAGCGAUUGGUUGAAGAUCUUUCUUUUUGACGGGAUCAUAGAACUCUUGCUCCUCAAUUUGGAUAGUGAAUUGAGUAAAGAGUUUCUUUUAAAAAGAUGAACUUGGCUUUUCAAACUUUAUCUCCGUGGUUCCAUCGCUUCUAGAGUGAAAGCUUACGUCAGAUGACUGAAUCGGUGCUUGAGAUGCUUGAUGUAUCUUCUCAUAGCUUGUUACCCAUGACUCUGGUAGUUUUCGUAGCAGUUCCUCUCGUGAUAUUUGUCUCGGGAUUUGAAUAGAGUUGGGUGCUUGUGAUGCCGAUGUGACUUCAAGGUAUAAAGCCUCGUCUGAUGCUGGUAGUGCAAGAUCGAGAGCAUGAUCUUGGAUUCUGUAUACAAUCUGAUGAUGUAGAGUUGCUGCCACACUUUCUUCUUGCAUAUGUGCUCCGAUUAAUUGUAAUUGAACCUUAAGCGCCUUCAGGAGAUUUGGAUCUUGCAGUGAGACAUUGAAAUUUGGAAACAGUGUUAUAAAUACUGUUCCUGCGUUCAGCGUUGUUUGUACUGUUCCGAUGCAAGCUUGUUGAUAGGAUUUGAGCCUUGAGUCAAGCAAAGCAAUCCGUGCUAUAACCGGUAAACCUUUUCGUGCGUGUAAGGUUAAACCGAUUCGUACUACACCGAAGUGUAGAUGAGUGUAGCCCUGCUGCUGCCAUAGCCUUGGAAGAUGCUCCGGAAUAUUUAGCGAGAUGAAUUGUUCUUCUUCGGUAGCUGGAACUUGACAUGAUGAAAACUUGCUGGAUUGUACAUACUCCAAUACUCGUCGGCUAGAAGAUGGCUUGAUCAGAUCACGAACACCUUUUACCGAAAAAGCACUAGGCUUUUUAGCAAAGUAUUCAUAAGGAUUAACCAACGGGAGAGUUGUUUCCGGUAAUUGAUCUCCGGGAACGUAUUCAAUCUCAUACAAGGAAUUUAUCUUAGAAAGGGAAUUAUUUCUUUGGAUUUUUGGUAAAGUAGAUAUAGCAAAUUGAGAAUCUAUUGAAGGAUUUAGCUGAGGGUGUUUAGGAGGCUUAGAAAGAGACAUGAUUGAGAGUUUGUUUUCCAGAACAUUCAAAACGAUCAGUCAUAAACAAUGAUUCUCUCUACCUUCACACAAGCCUUGGCUCUGAUACCAUAAUCUUUAAACCAAGCCUUUUGUGGCACAUGUGUUAUCCGUUUCUUAUUUCCAAUACUUGUGAACCCAUUUCGAUCCGUUGUGACCUCAAAGUUCCAUGAUUCUGAUUUAUUGUGACAUCACACUCGCAAAAGAAACCGUUAGAUUUGGAAGAAAAAAAAGUUUGACGAUCACUAGAAUAUUGAAAAAGAUUGCUAUGAAAUAACAAAAUGUGAAUAAUGUUUGUGUUGUUUAGAAGGAAAAAAAGUCAAAUAGAUUUACGUCGCUGUUAAAAAACUGAACUACAUCGAGCUCACGAUUUUUUUAAAAAAUCCAGAUAGGUUUGAAAAUGCACAAUAGAGAAAUGUUUUGUGCCCAACCAAAGAAUUUUCAUGCAUCCCAAGAAAAAUGUCAAUCACUAAAAAAUUAACACAAUAUGAUAAUAAAUUCUAAAAAGCUAUGUAAAAUAUGGUUAUUUUAAAUAUUUUCUUUAAAUUGUAAUUAAAAACCCAUCUCUAUUCUUAAUUGCAAUAUGAAAAUUCUGUACAAUUCAAAGUAAGUGUAGAAAGAAGUAUCCCCACUGCACACGUGGAGUACGACUAAAAAAAUUUGUUGCAAAAAUAAUUUCUCGGAUGGAUGAAAAAAAUAGUGUUUCGAUUUCGAAAAAGAUGAAAAAAAUCUAUCCAUCUCCUUCGAUCAAUGUCCAUUCUUGAUGACCAUCAUGUUGUUCUCAGAGAACAAUUCAUAAAUUUUCCAAUCGGCACAACUUUGUUGAGAACAAAGCUUUGUUCCUCGUCAUCCAAUAUGAUUGGAAUGAGAAGGCUAUAAAUGCUGAUUUGAGUAAAGUUGUUCUAGUCCUGAAUGGGGAGGUCACACUUUGUUCACCAAGUAAAUCCAAUCUGUUGUGACCUCAAAGUUAUUUGGUUCCGAUUUAUUGUGAUCACACGCUCGCAACAAAAGCUCUUAGAUUUGAAAAAAGGGUUGGUGAUCACUAUAUCAACAAUCGUGAAACCUUCAUUAAAUGUAAAAUAUGAUACAGAGAAAGCUUAAAUACUAAGAGAGAUAACCUACUAUAAACAUGAUAGAUAACCAAAGAUAAUCGCACUAUAUUCAACACUAAACCGGAGAGAUAUAAUCUCUAAUACGCCCCCACAAGAUGGAAGUAUGACAUCUUGGAUUUGAAGAUUUAUGUGCUCAAAAAGACUUUUAUGAGAAAGCAACAGUGUCAUUUUCUUCCAUGUAGAAAGACUAGACACCUUCAUAAACUGGAUUAUAGAGAAAUGAAUCACAUGUCGUCCUCUUCUUCAAUAGCCAUGAGAACUUGAGAGAUCUUAUUUGCCGUGAGUGGCUUGAAUCCAAGAUGAGCUUGAUAAAACUGUUAAGUAUCACAAGUGAAGAAUACUGCUCAAAGAACCUUGAAGUCUCCAUGAGUUUGUAGCCAAGUAACAUCACAAACCAGCCAUAGGAGUAGCAAGCUGUAGACAAGUAAAGGGCAUCGUCACUUUUAACCCAAACAUUCUCUUACCAAAACCAUGUCCACAAAAUAAUUCUGCUACUAAAAUCUUGAGGAUGAUGAUUUUAUAGAGGCCAUAGCAAUGAUCCAAAGAGGAACCAAUAGUUCUUAAUUUCAUAGUACCACCAGAAUGUGAUCCGAAAUUGUAUCUCUCCGGUUUAGUGUUGAAUAUAAUGCGAUUAUCUUUGGUUAUCUAUCAUGUUUAAGCUUUCUCUGUUAUCUCUAUUAGUAUUUAAGCUUUCUCUGUAUCAUAUUUUACAUUUAAUGAAGGUUUGACGAUUGCUGAUAUGGUAUCAGAGCAAAGAAACACCUGAUUUCUUUUUGCUCACAUCAUCUUUCGCUUCGUUUGUUUCCGUGAUUUUGAUUGAUCGUUAUCGAUCUAUCAGUUUUUCCUAUUCUCCAGCUUGAUUCGAGCUUCAAUUUCAUCGAUCAAGCUUGGAUUUCAUCAAAUCUUCCCUAUCGAGCCCUGAUCUCUUUGAAUCGAGCUCCAAUUUCUUUGAAUCGAGCAUUGAUUUCUUCAUUUCUUGUCUCGAUUUCUCAGCCAGCCUCGAGUUUGUUUACUUCGUUUUCAGAGAUCAGAUUUCCUCGAUCGUUUGUUUUUGCUUCUUUGAAGCUUCGUUAUUCUGAUUCAUUAUUGAUUCAGAUUUCUGUGUUUUUCCACUUCGCGAUCCAUAUCUGUAGUUGAUUUGAGCUUCUUCUUCUUGUUUCCUGUGCGAUUUCUGCUUUUCUUCGACAUUCCUAUUCGAAAUUGAGCUGCAAUCGAUUCUCAGCGGUGAAACGGAAGAAUAAUUCCGAGUAUCAAACAAUCUACACCGGAUUUGCCAGGAAAUCACUUCACCGGAGUCUUGUGAGAAGCGUGUUGGCUUUAAUUCUCCUCGCAUUGCUUCAGGUGUUCAAAGAUCGUGCUUAAUUUUGCCGAUCUUGGUCAAUUUGUUCGGUUAUUUUGCUGAAUUUUGCUUGGAUCGAGUUUUCCAAGUUUCAACUCACGGUUGUUUCGCCGAUCUGCUAGGAGAUCUUCCAUUCGUGAAGAUAUUUCUCCGUUUUGUAUCAGCUCUUCCGUUGAGUUUGGUUUCUGCAAUUCGAGUUGCUUCAAGUGUUGUUUCGGUUUAUCAGGAUGUGUUGAUAUCGAUUGAGCUUGAUCUGUGAUUGCUAUUGUGAUGGAUUUAUAUUCAUCGUUUGCUGGUUUUGAUGAGCUUAUUGCUCCACCAGUAGAGAUUAUUGUCGAUGACAAUCUACUUGGUGAACAUUCAUGGUUGAAAUUGAUGAUCGAGCCGGCGUUCCUAUACGGAUCUCUUUUACGGCCACCAGAUCUACAUUCUCCUAUGGUAUGUGUUUGGAUUAUACACUCAAUCUCCCACCAACUAAGUUCUGGAACAGUCUAUUGUUGUGUUCCUCAUGAACCUUGUAUAGAUUCAGAAGAUAGCUUUAGGCAUCCCAAUCUUUCUAGACAGAGGGAGAUUUGGUUAGACAAUCUUAUGCAGAAUCAUCAGCUCGUUAUCGCUCCACGAUGCUUAGAAUUAAAUGGAGUUGGCGUGAUCUCUGAGAUUGUUCCUGCAUUAUGUUGCGUUGAUGGGUUUAUACAUUUGGUAUCCAUGGGUUGUGAAGCUGUUCCCAAGAUGUUGGUUUCUCAAGGAUUGAGAAUGAUAGAUACUGAUGGUUAUGGCUUCUAUGCCACUGAUGUUGCUAUACAAAUUCUGCAAUUAAUCGCAGAGGAGUUUCUUUUUUGUUCCAACUGUGUUUUGCUUGGUCAAACAUUUGCAAGAUGUUCCACAGUUCACAGCUAUCCACUUGGUUAUACACCAAAACAGGGGGAGUUUUUACCUUCAUAUCCAAUCUGCAAACUUCUGAACUCUUCCACUAAGGAUACAAAAUCGAGGACGUUUACAUUGCACAACUUAGUCUUUCUUGUGCUGAUGCAACAGAGUUUUCAUCCAGUCUCGUUACAAAGACAGAGUCAAGACUAUGAUUUUUUUCGACAGACCAUUGUGAUUCAUUCCGGUUGGUUUGGAUCCAUACUUGAGUUCCUUUAUGGCUUAUUACCAAGACCACCUGACGUUCUUUACGUUUUCAGUCCAAAGCCUACAAUUCUCAUGGUUGUUCAAGUCCAAGAUGCAAGUCCCUUCCAUCUUGAGGGGGAGUAUUAGAGAUUGUAGAGUUUGGUUUACUUCGGUUAAGUCACAUUGUAUAUAGUUCGGUUAUCUCCAUUGGUUUAUUCUUAGUAUUUAAAGCUUCUUCUUAUCAUUGUAAACGUAAGUUGAGUGUUAUAGAGAAAUAGAAAAUCUGUUGGACAAAUUCUCUUCUUCUUCAUCACAAAUCCUCUCAACUUCCAUGGAGAUUUUCGUUUACUGAUACACUAUAAUGGUGAAAAAGAUUACUUGUUGAACAAAGUGCGAAAAAUGUUUGUAUUGUUAAGAAGAACUUUUGUGUAUUUUAACUAAUUCCUUCGUUGAAAAAGGUUAAUAGUAUUUCGUGUGAACAAAAGAUUUUUUUUUUUUUUUGACGUCUAGAUUUAUUAUUUAUUACAAAUUAUGAGAACUGUUACAUAGACGAUUCUACAACGGACAAUUCCUUCCGACCCUUAUUAGAUCCACGACAGACGACCCUUCCUUCUCCAUGCUCUUGACGGACACCUUCAAUGAUCCACGACCUGACGACACUUCUCUCUCUGCGUAGAAUCCUGGCGAACGGCUAUAAUUGUACUUCGCUGGAGAUCUCAUGCACACUUGCCUCUUUUAAUAUGCAAAUUUAUUAAUAAAUCGCAAUACCUGGGACUCGAACCCCAGACAUCUUGGUGUAGAAGCAUUAAUUAACCAUUAGUCAACCAAUGGACCAAGGGGGCUU
rnacentral:lncRNA from 1 species